rnacentral:rRNA from 1 species
CCUACGGGUGGCAGCAGUGAGGAAUAUUGGUCAAUGGACGAGAGUCUGAACCAGCCAAGUAGCGUGAAGGAUGACUGCCCUAUGGGUUGUAAACUUCUUUUAUAUGGGAAUAAAAUGUUCCACGUGUGGGAUUUUGUAUGUACCAUAUGAAUAAGGAUCGGCUAACUCCGUGCCAGCAGCCGCGGUAAUACGGAGGAUCCGAGCGUUAUCCGGAUUUAUUGGGUUUAAAGGGAGCGUAGGUGGAUUGUUAAGUCAGUUGUGAAAGUUUGCGGCUCAACCGUAAAAUUGCAGUUGAAACUGGCAGUCUUGAGUACAGUAGAGGUGGGCGGAGUUCGUGGUGUAGCGGUGAAAUGCUUAGAUAUCACGAAGAACUCCGAUUGCGAAGGCAGUUCACUGGACUGCAACUGACACUGAGGCUCGAAAGUGUGGGUAUCAAACAGGAUUAGUUACCCGAGUAGUC